UACGUAGGCAGCGAGCGUUGUUCGGAGUUACUGGGCGUAAAGGGUGUGUAGGCGGUCUUUUAAGUUUGGUGUGAAAUCUCCCGGCUCAACCGGGAGGGUGCGCCGAAUACUGAGAGACUUGGAGUGCGGGAGAGGAAAGUGGAAUUCCUGGUGUAGCGGUGAAAUGCGCAGAUAUCAGGAGGAACACCGGUGGCGAAGGCGGAUCUCUGGGACGUGACUGACGCUGAGACGCGAAAGCGUGGGGAGCGAACAGG
rnacentral:rRNA from 1 species